GGGCCCGCACAAGCGGUGGAGCAUGUGGUUUAAUUCGAUGCAACGCGAAGAACCUUACCAGGGCUUGACAUACUGCAGAUCUUUUUGAGAAAGAAGAGUGCCUUCGGGAAUGCAGAUACAGGUGGUGCAUGGCUGUCGUCAGCUCGUGUCGUGAGAUGUUGGGUUAAGUCCCGCAACGAGCGCAACCCUUAUUUUUAGUUACCAACUUGUUGGGUUCUCUAGAAAGACUGCCGGUGACAAACCGGAGGAAGGUGAGGAUGACGUCAAGUCAGCAUGCCCCUUAUGUCCUGGGCUACACACGUGCUACAAUGGUUAAGACAAAGAGUUGCGAGUUCGUGAGAACCAGCUAAUCUCGUAAACUUAGCCUAAGUUCAGAUUGUAGGCUGCAACUCGCCUACAUGAAGUUGGAAUCGCUAGUAAUCG
rnacentral:rRNA from 1 species